GGGUCAGUAGGUUGGUCGUGCCACCGGUACGUACUGGUCUCACUGAUUCCUCCUUCCUGAAGAGCCGUAAUGCCAUUAAUUUGGUGUUGCGGGGAAACAGGACUGUUACUUUGAAAAAAUUAGAGUGUUUAAAGCAAGCUAACGCUUGAAUACAUUGGCAUGGAAUAAUGAAAUAGGACGAUCGAUCCUAUUUUGUUGGUUUCUAGGAUUGACGUA
rnacentral:rRNA from 1 species